rnacentral:lncRNA from 1 species
GUCCACAUCUAGCUCAAGCACCAAUGGAUUCAAGUGGUGAAAUGAUACCUUUGGGGCACUGCUCUUUCCUUGCCUGCUUUUGCUCUUUUUCCAUGUUGAUUUCCUUUUGAGAUAGGCUCUCUCCAUGCAUUGGUAAAGAUAGUACCUGUCAGCUUUGGGAUUAUUUGGUCUGUAGUAGUUUUUAUCUCAGAGAAAAAGAGAAUGCCCUGUACUUAUUUCCAGCAAAAAUCCUUCUGAUUGGCCUUGCUAUGUCAUGUGCCCAGCUUUGAACCAACCAGGCAACAGAGUGGUGCACUAUAGUCACUCCUGAAGCAGAGGUAGGGAAGCUCUUGGACUGAGAAUGAAAGUACUUGAAGGUUUCCACUUGGUAUGACAAUUUUUACAGAGGGGAUUUAGUAACUGAAAGUGAAAUGUAGAGUAUUCAUUCGUUUCAAAAGUUUAGCUUGUAUGUGUAAAUAAUAUUAUGGAUAUUCAUGUCCCUUUUCUAACCCUAGAAAAAGACACUGGAGACUGGCAUACUCAUGUAUCUUAAAUUUAAAACCUUUCACAUUUUUAAAAGGACAUUUGCAUUCACUGGUAACAUAAGUUAGCUGAACUCUAAUUAUAUUGAAGAAAUGAAAUCUGUUUGUUUAUUUCAGGCAAGACAUGUUGCCAACAGCUGUGCAGAGUUGUGAUGUGAUCUUCUCAAUGAACAAUCUAAGAGCCACUGAAUCUCACUGGACAAAAAUAAGUUCCAGAGGGAAAGACAGUAGCCCUAAAGGAGGAGACUCAGUAGAACCAGCGCCCAGCCAGAUGAACUGUCUCAACUAAGCCCCAACCAGGCCAACUGAUUCCUAACUCUUCUGCAGACAAGGGAUGGAAUGGAUCCCAUCGCACCAACCCAGUAGAGAGAGGCCAGCCUAGAUCUGUUGAGCCCAGCCACCAUGAAGAGGAAUGAGCUACACUGGUGCUUUUUGGUAUGUCCUACUGAUUUUGUUGUUGUUUGAUACAUAGUAAUGUUAUGACUUAACAGUACUAAAUUAUUUCCAAAGU